ensembl:lncRNA
UGUUUUUUUUUUUAUUAUUAUUUUUUCAAUAUUUUCCCCCACAAUGGAAUUUUCACAUGAGCUGUUCCUUCAGUAAAACAAAAUGCUAUGAAACUUCUAAAUGCCCAAUGUUUAUUGCAGCACUGAUGCAAGACUGUUCUUCAUCCUGGGAGGGGCUGGAAAGAACUGAACUGCCCUUACUCAUCCUGCUUGCCAGCUUACUUGUGUCUCGAUGGGUCAGUGCUUGUCACUGUGGGCCAAGCACAGUAAUUAAUUUCUUGCCUAAGUGUUCUUUGGGAUCCAAUAUAUUUCCAUAAAAUUUCUUGCUGUCUGUAUGCUUCCCUACAAAUUCUGAAAGUAUGUCAGCAUAUUAGAGGGGAAGUUUAAAUUAUUUCAAGCACUAAAGAUAUUUGCAGUAAAGGAAAUACACACUUUGGUGCAUAGGUGUGAGGGAUGGUCUCCUGUCAUUUGCUGACACGGAUUUGAAAUUACAGAAAAGGGGAGAUAUUACUUUAGAGAAUUCACCAUAAACUUUUAGAAACUUUUAGAAACCACAGACGAUGUUGUUAAAGAUAACAAAUAUAUGUUAGGUUCAGGAGAGGCUCCUCCAAAGGGGGAAAAUGGGAUGCUGCCAUACAGAAGCUGCUGAGCCAUUCCUAUUGCAGUCAGGAGAGAUGCUGGUGCUUUGGUCCUGUCUGGAUGUGAGGCUGGACUUUGCCACCCCAGCUGGCUCAAGAUGGAGCUUGCCCCAUGACUCAUGGCACUUUGCUUCUGCCCUCUUGGGUUUCUUGCUGGAAGAGAAAGCUGCUGGCUCUUGCCAGACCUCCACCCAGCACAUGCAUCAAGUGGGCACCUGGGGAAUUAAAGCUCUGAGUUCAGCGUGUACGUCAAAUGAAGAUCACUCCCAUAGGCUGGGUGGCCAGAUAGGUCUAUAGCUGUUUUGGCUGGAGGAUAGUUCAAGAGUUGGUGCAAAAAGAGAGGUCUUUCUUGGUGGCCAUUCCCAAAGAGUCUUCUCCAAAGCAUACUCAGUCAUAUUUCAUAGAGGAAUGCUUUCAAGAGCAGGCCUCACAGGGUUCAUUGCUUAUGAACCAUGCAUGUAGCUUGCAACCCUUGAGUCCCUGCACACAUCCUAACUCCAGAUUUCAUCCUAACUUCUCUCUCUUAAGAGAGAGAAGGUGCAGAGGACACCAAGAAGAGCAGCAGCUCUGCAGUACCACCAUCAGUGCCAGGAACUUAGGAGGAUGCCAGCACCUAAAUUACUUUGGUGUUUAUUCAAACAUCACUCCAGGCUGGUGCAGGAUAGUUUCAUAACACUUUUCUGUCUCGCAUAUAAUUGCAGACUAAUGGCAUUGUUAAAGUACUUGGGCUCAUGAUCUGAUUUUCUCUUAAGCAGCUGUUUAUACAUUUUAUUAAUGGUUACUAAUUAAGUCGCUUGAAUGAAGUCCUUUGGAGACUGUCCAAAGACAUAAACCUAAAUAAGCUGGGCACUGUGAUGAAACACAGUCACUAAAAUAUCUUCCCCAAAGCCAUAUAAACAGAUUGAAAAUGGACCAAAGAAAUGUCUGAUGAAAAGGAGUAGGUGAGAAAAUGUAUAGAUUCAGGUAGGUGUCAUCUAAAACCUAGGGAGAGGAAACAAGACUUAAAGGACUUGAAGUUCCUUUUAUGUAUGAGAUCAUAAACUCAGUAGCUUGUAUUCAUGGUCCGCUCAGGUUGCUAAUGCAGUUCUGAGCCAAGGGGCACUUGGAAGACCUCAGCCCUGAGCUCUCACACCAUGGCUUGUGAAGGCCACCGAGCAUCCUGGAAACCAAAAGCAGCUCUGAAGUCAAGCUGUUGACCUCAGUGUGCUGGAUUGUAAAUCCCCUUGCAGUCAAGACUGUCUGGCUUUAAAAGGAGUUUGUACAGGCAAGAGAUAAAAAAAUUAAGAGCAGGAAAAUUAAUAGCAUGUGAAGUUUUGGCUCUGUUAAGUCUGGAGAAUGAGGUGCUGAGAGGUGUGAGUAGCACAAGCUGCAUUUGCUGUCAGGACCAAAGGAGCUCCUGUCAUGGCUUUGCCCAAACUCCCAUCCUGGAGCUUGUUUGGGGGCAUGAGGGGUUGAAUGCAUCAGAGGAGAUGUAGACUGAGAAUUGGAGUGAAGAAAAAAUAUAAUCUGACUGAUAUUGGAGAACUCCCAGCUGGCAAGCCCAUCCUGCAAGGCAGUGGUCACUCUGAAAGUUUGGAAAAGCUGCCCUUGGGCAGCCUGGAGCAAGCCUUUCCAGGCAGGACUCAAAGCACAGGCCUUGGCCAGGGCUGCCACAAGUGUUCAGGGCUCAGCUUGUGCCUGACUUAGCAGAGACGUGCUAACAACUUUUCUUCUGUAAACCUUUGAGGGAGUUUCAAGACCCAAGAAAACACAAGAAGCUGCAAACUUUAGAGGGGCCUUGCCAGCUUGCUUAAGGCCAGGACUUAGGCAAAGGCAAAGCAACUGCUGCCCAAAUCCCUGGGGAAGGCUGAACUCCUGUGGGCUGCAGAGCUGCUCUCUGCUAGGAGCUGGGCCGGGCAUAGAGGUGCCACAAACCCCAUAGCUUUGUGACAUGGGGUGGCAGGUUUUAAUUUUCAGAGCAUGAGGAUCUGUUGGGCUGAAAGUCUUUCUUCCUGCCAUCACCAUUAAAGCCAUGAGCUUGCAGAUGCUUCUCCACUCUUCCUGCCCCAGCAAAACAACACAGUGGUCUCCUUAUUGUUUAUUUCCACCACAGGGGAUACAGGAGGGGUUGUCCCCCUCCCUGAUACUACUAAACUGGGGACUGGAAAUGCAGCUGACUGCAGCUCAGUGGCAUGCUUCUUUAUUCUUAUUUCAGAGAAUAGUUUUUAAAAUAAUUUCCAAAAUAGCCAUGUCUGCUGGAGUGGGAAUUGUGAGAGCUAUCGCUUGUUGCUUUCAUGGCUUGGUGGCAGAGUAGGCCUGGCUGCUCCUGCCAAGGGGGUUGUGCUGGUGUGUGAGCAGCACCUCCAUGCUUGCUGGGCCAGGUAUGGUCCUAGGAGGGUGCUGGGUUAUGAUGGCUUUCCUGGGCUUUGGACAGGGAAUGAGAAAUCCUGGGGUUUGUCUGAAACACCGCCAUUCAUCUGCAGUGGGGGAAAGUUGAUUUUAUCACUCAGUACAUCUCUUAAUGCUACAGGCCCUCAAAAUCAUGCAAGAAAAAAAAAAAAAAAAAAA